AAAGCAUCUAAACAGGUCCUGGUCUUUGUGUGGUAGACCAUGAUUUGGUAGCUGGUGCUGAUAGAAACAUUCUCCUAGCAACAGCACCACUGGCUCUCCUUGUGCCAGCUGGGGGCAAAUAUGGAGAAAACAUUU
ensembl:snoRNA